rnacentral:rRNA from 1 species
UACGUAGGUGGCAAGCGUUGUCCGGAUUUACUGGGCGUAAAGAGCGCGCAGGCGGUCGGAUAAGUCGAAUGUGAAAGCCCCCGGCUCAACUGGGGAGGGUCAUUCGAUACUGUUCGACUCGAAGGCAGGAGAGGGAAGUGGAAUUCCCGGUGUAGUGGUGAAAUGCGUAGAUAUCGGGAGGAACACCAGUGGCGAAGGCGACUCCUGGCCUGUUCUUGACGCUGAGGCGCGAAAGCUAGG